UAGCCCCCUCUCCCUUCACUAAUCUCUUCCUGCUCCCUGCCUUGGUCCGACGACCAGUAUCUCCGGCCGGUAGCCGCCAGCCGGACAUCCUUUUUCCGGCAAACACCGCUCACACACUGGCCACCUUCCACCUCGUUCCUUCGUAUACCCCUCUCUUGUACCCUUGUAAUUAGUUAUACACAUACAAACCCCCAACCCCCUUCUUCUUAUACCAUUUCAUCCCUACCCAUCUGAUCUGGAAAGAAAUCGGCAGAGAAAAAACAGUUACAGAGAGAGAAUGGUCAGAGAGAGAAAGCGGAGGAGAGAGGGAGAGAGGACGAGAUCAGCGACGGUGUUAGGUGGCAAAGCUGCUGUUCCGACAACCAGAUAAGACGUCAGAUGAUAGUGGUAGGCUCAUGACUGAGCUGUGGCGGUGUCCGGUGGCUACUAACAACAACAGCACCGGCCCGAGGGUCGACGCCAGCGACGGAAACAGAUGUUCAUCCCGUAAUCACCUGGUCAGUAUGUGUUAGUCUGCAUUUCGUGAUUUUUGGUUUUUAGGUACAGCUACGGACGGACGUUGCAAACAGAUGGAGUGUGUGUGGGUUGGAAAGUUGUACGUUUUGUACAUUCAUUUAAAUUUUGGUAUCACACUGUGAUGGGUUUAUCUUUUAUUUCCGCUGCAAACUUAAAUUAUAUUUUUUAAAACUUUUAAAUUAAAUCGCUAAUUGUAUUA